rnacentral:lncRNA from 1 species
GUGACAGGACAAGAAGUAGCAGUUAAGAGGCUUUCAAAGUGUUCAGGGCAAGGAACGUUGGAGUUUAAGAAUGAAUUGAUACUCAUAUAUGAACUCCAACAUAAAAACCUUGUCAAACUUUUUGGAUUUUGCAUUCAUGGUGAAGAGAGGAUGCUUAUAUACGAGUAUAUGCCAAACAAAAGUUUGGACUACUUUUUAUUCGGUUGGUAACACUCCCUUUAAUCCUACUGCUUGAUUUAAUUUUGUUUUGGGUUUAUGUGAUAUAUCAAAAAUACACAGAUAAUUAUCAAUCUACUAAUUCUUCAAUAUACUGAGCAGAUUCAACAAGAGUCACGCUACUUGAUUGGAAGAAGCGUUUCAGUAUAAUUGAAGGAAUUGCUCAAGGAUUGCUUUACUUGCACAAGUACUCAAGAGUUACUGUAAUUCAUAGAGAUUUAAAAGCAAGUAACAUACUACUUGAUGAAAAUAUGAACCCCAAAAUAUCUGAUUUUGGUAUGGCAAGGAUUUUCAAGCAUAAUGAACUAGAAGCAAAUACUAAUAGGGUUGUCGGAACAUAGUAAGUAAACAAUAAAUUGGUCUUUCAUUUCUUUCAGUUUGCUAUAUUAUAUAACAUGGAUUAUUUAUGUAUGCAGAAGUACUAAAACAAGUUUUUUUUUUCUAUUUGGUAAUAGUGGUUACAUGUCUCCCGAGUACGCCAUGGAGGGCCUCUUUUCCAUAAAAUCUGAUGUUUAUAGUUUUGGAGUGUUAAUGCUUGAAAUUGUAAGCGGCAGGAGAAACAAUAGCUUCUACAAUGCUGAUCGCCUGCUUAAUAUAGUAGGAUAUGUAUGUCAUUCCAAUCUUAAUUGCGACAAAAAAAAUUUGUUCGUGGUUUUAGGUGUGUUUCUAAUUAAAUACAAUCCUGCAUGUUUCAGGCAUGGGAAUUAUGGAAGGAAGGCACAGUUCUAGAAUUAAUGGAUCCAGCAUUAGGCGAUUCAUGUAUCAAAGAUCAAUUGUUAAGAUGCGUUCAUGUUGGUCUACUAUGCGUGGAAGAAAAUGCAGCUGAUCGGCCUACCAUGUCAGAUGUCGUAUCUAUGUUGACAAAUCAAAGCUCACCGUUGCCAUUGCCUGCAAAGGCAGCAUUUUUUACAGGAAGAAAUGUGGUUGAAAAUGGUUCGGGUGGAAAAAAAUCAGAAUUUUUUUCAUCAAAUGAGAUAUCUGAUUACACUGCUGUGCCGCGAUGAAUUUACAUCCUACUAUGUUUACGGUUUGCCUGAAUUUUUGCUUGCUUUUAUAUGUAUGAUGGAAGUACUCUAGUUGGAAAAUUACUUUUUCCUCACAAACUAAUGUACCUGUGGAAAUAUCAACUAUAAUAGCUGUUGGCAUUAUGUGCUCUCUGUUCUCUGCUGUAAAACGUUCAGUUAUAUAUAAGAGCAAAUGGAUGAAGCAAGAUGAAUGAUACUUUCAUGUGUUAGAAUCUACCUGAUCAAGUUAUGCAGCAGUGGUAGCAGUUCCAGUUCAUAUAAUUACUGUUGAUGUGCCUAUGAGGAAACAGCUUAGUGAGUUAGCCGCCUUCUUCCUCAGGCACAAGGUCUUAAAUCAAAACGUAUUUUCCAGAUCAUGUGGUACACCUAUGGAAGCAAGUGUACUGAGGAACACCAGGCAUGUUAGUACUAUACCUUCAUCUUCCUACUAUAUCGGAGUCGGACAUGCCAUUUGGCUGAAAGAAGGCAGGGUUUUCUCUUUCUCCCUACUAAUAUUAUUGUGAACACGAAAAUUUCCUGAAAGGAAAGAGACAAGAACAACGUGCACAAACAAAUAUUUGUAUUUGAUGAUUUUGGGUUACAAUCUCUCUCUAUUUUGAUCUUCUAAUUCGAUCUCCAUAAGGUGUUGAUUUGUGGAUGUUUCGUUGAUCCAAGGGCCGUCGAGGCUUGAUUUUGGAUGAACUGUUGGAAGUUUCUUCAAGGGUUGUGGGCUUGAUCUUCGAAGGUGGAUUUGAGCGAAUCUUCAAGGAGCCGUUGGGGCUUGAUCUUGCGGAUGAGUGUUUCUUCAAGGGCCGUUGAGGCUUGAUCUUGAAUAACGGUGAUGAGCGGAUCUUCAAGGGCUUUUGGGCUUGAUCUUGAAGAACAGUGAUGAACGGAUCUUCAAGGGCUUUUGGGCUUGAUCUUGAAGAACGGUGGCUUGUUGAUCCAAGGGCCGUCGGGGCUUGAUCUUGGAAGAACGAUGAACGAUGAACGAAGAACAAAGAACACUUUAUUCAAGGGCCGUCGGGGCUUGAUCUUGAAUUGGUGGAUGAUUGUUGAUCCAAAGGGCCGUUGGGGCUUGAUCUUGGAAGAACGAUGAACGAAGAACGAAGAAAACUUUCUUCAAGGGCCGUCGGGGCUUGAUCUUGAAAGAACAGUUGUGUGGAUUUAUUGAUGUUGUUGAUCCAAAGGGCCGUUGGGGCUUGAUCUUAGGAUGAACAGUUGUGUGGAUUUGUUGAUGUUGUUGAUCCAAAGGGCCGUUGGGGCUUGAUCUUAGGAUGAACAGUUAUGUGGAUUUGGUGAUAUUGUUGAUCCAAAAGGGUCGUCGGGGCUUGAUCUUUUGAUGAACAGUUGUGUGGAUUUGUUGAUGUUCUUGAUCCAAAGGGCCGUUGGGGCUUGAUCUUAGGAUGAACAAUUGUGUGGAUUUGUUGAUGUUGUUGAUCCAAAGGGCCGUUGGGGCUUGAUCUUAGGAUGAACAGUUAUGUGGAUUUAUUGAUGUUGUUGAUCCAAAGGGCCGUUGGGGCUUGAUCUUAGGAUGAACAGUUGUGUGGAUUUGUUGAACACUUUCUUCAAGGGCCGUCGAGGCUUGAUCUUGAAUUGGUGGAAGUUCUUCAAGGGCCGUUAAGGCUUGAUCUUGAAGGAGGAUUUGACGAAGAACGAAGAGGGCUUUCUUGAUCCUUCGGGAUUUGCUGGAAUUUGGGAGGUUGGAUGCUUGAAAGCUUUAGAGUUUCAAAGCUUCAAGGAUUUUGGAUGUGUGCGGAGUAUUCUCUUCCAUUUUGGGAGUAGAGAAAUGUAUUUGUGAAUUGGUUCAUGAUACCUUGAUGUAGAAGCCUAUUUAUAGGCUUUGAGAAUGAAUCACCACCACAAAAUAUUUUUUUCUUUUCCAAGCACCAUUGCCUAAUUUCCCACUUAAUACAAUUUUAAACUUGAAGUGGUAAUUUUAUGGCCUAAUUUUCCACUCAAUAUCAUUUUAAACUUGAUAUGUGCAUGCUUUGUCAUUGCCCAAAAUGAGAAGAAAACCUUGUUUUGAUCUUCAAUGGAUUGAAAUGUGCUUGCCUUGUCAUUGCCCAAAAUGAGAAGAAAAACUUGUGUAAUCCUCCAAGGGUAUUUCUUUUUAUUUUGUUGAGUCACACACCAUGUGUACAAUUUGUAUGACACGUGGCAUAUGCCAUGUAUGCCUUGACACGUCAAAAUUUUAAUGCGUUGGUGAACAUUUAUUUCACCGCAAUUUCGAUGUCUACAAAUGCCCCCACUUCAAGGUGUGUCGUAUACAUGUGCUUGUCACGUGUAGGAGAUGCGUUUUGAAGUCCCUUACUGUAAAUGUCAAUCCAAGGGCUAUCGAGGCUUGAUCUUGAAUUGGGCUGGAGAUUUCUUCAAGGGCCGUUGAGGCUUGUUCUUGGACUUUGUUUGAAAUUUCUUCAAUGGCCGUCGAGGCUUGAUCUUGAAGGUUGAAAUUGGACCACAAGGAGUUUUAUGUGGUAGAUGAUCUUUGGCUUUGGUAGUGGAUGAAUCGGCACGUAUUUGUUUUUGCGUUUUGUUGACUUUCCACAGCUUUGAUCUUGAACUGGGUUGGAGGAUUUUUUGGAUUCCUCCAAUUGUUGAUUUUCUACAACUUAUUCUUGAACUGGAUUUUGAUUCAAAUAUGGUGGACGCUUGAUCUUGAAUCGGACUUGUGAUUUCCUCAAGGGCCGUCGAGGCUUGAUCUUGAAUUUGGCUGGAAACUUCUUCAAGGGCCGUUGAGGCUUGAUUCUUGAAGGUUGACUCGAACACAUGGCAAGCAGGCACGAGGUGAAGGUGACGACUUGUUGCUUUGUUCAAUCUUUCUAAUUCACACCUGAGCAGUUUGGUCAACGGUAUGAUCUUCAAGAUUGAUGGGCUCUUCUUCCAGUUGGUGACUUGAUCUUUAAGGAUUUGAUUCAAGGGUGGUGAAACGGCACAUGCAGCCCACAACGCCUAGCAAGUCGACCCAAGAAUUUGAGGGUCAAAACGAGUCCUCCACCCAGAGUGAUUGCAAACCUGAUGAUAUGAGAUACUUUUGAUUUUGAAGAAGUAGCGGAUGAAUCGGCACGUGCUUUGUUGUGCUUGUCUCCACAUGCUUCAAUGUAUCAUUUUCCCUUGUCUUAUCUAUUCUUCUAGCAGAAUGUAACAUCUUCUCGAGUUCUUCAGCUCAGACUCCUUCUGCUGAGUUGACUGUGCAGGCUGCAUUAUUCUCUGCUUGUUUCUUUAGGCAGAUGUGGCAGUUUCUUGAGUUCCUCAGCUCGAACUCCUUCUGCUGAGCUGACUGUGAAGACUGCAUUCUUCUCUGCUUGUUUCUUCUGCACGUUGUCUCCACAUGCUGCAAGGUAUCAUUUUCACUUGCCUUAUCUGUUCUCCAGGCAAAUGUGGCAUCCGAGUUUGAGUGGAGGUUCCGGCAUAUUGUUUUCUUUAUCCUUGUCUUUGUAGGUAAGAACAAGGACAAAGGAAAGGACAGGGAGAACGCAUGAUAUGAGAUACUCUUGCUUUCUACCCUGGUGAUAUGAGAUACUUUUGCUUUGGUGUCAUUUGUUUGCAGAGGUACCCCAAGGAAUAAGAAACACUGAGUGACUCGAGAGGCUUCGUUGGGAAGGCAUUCUCGGAGAUGAAGAAAGGUUCUCGGAGAUGAAGAAAGGUUAUGUAUGUCUGCCUUGCUAUGGAGGGUGAAGGUGGACAGUUAUAGGAAAUUCUUUAGUACCUGUAGAGGUACUAUUCUUUUACUCGUGUCGGCAACCAAUGCGUGAUUGAUCAGUAUGGCUUCACGUGCUUUCUUCUUUAUCAGAAAUCUUCGACAAAUUGUCCGUAAUUUUCGUCAAGCUGAGUGUGCAUGUGACAGGUGUUGACGAGGCUGAAAAAGACUGGCGCCUCUUCGAUAUCUGGGAUCGGCGCUUCGACAAAUUGCCCGUGAUUUCCGCAAAGCUGAGUUUGCGCGUGACGGGUGCUGACGAGGCUGAAAAAGACUGGCGCCUCUUCGAUAUCUGGGAUUGGCGCUUUAACAAAUUGCCCGUGAUUUCCGCAAAGCUGAGUUUGCGCGUGACGGGUGCUAACGCGUCUGGAAAAGCAAGAUGCUUCUCCGAUUUCUGAGCUUGCCUCUUCGAUUUUUGAAUUGGCCUCUUCGAAUUCUGAGCUCGCCUCUUCGAUCUCUGAAAUCCCGUCGAGUGUUGAUUUUUUAUAGAGGCACGCAGUUCGUUUCAAAGCACACUUGAAUUUUCGCUUGUAGAAACUCCCUUCUUGCACUUCUAAGAUCUUGAUUUGUCCGACCUCUUCUUUCUUCAACACCUUUGAAAAUGUCUGGACCCUCCGACCGUCGUUUUGAUUUGAACCUUGGUGAAGAGGUAGUCCCGUCUUCUCCAGAUAACAUAUGGCGCCCAUCCUUCAUAUCCCCUACUGGUCCUCUUACCGUUGGGGAUUCGGUGGUGAAGAAUGAUAUGACCGCUGCGGUGGUGGCCCGAAACCUUGUCACUCCCAAAGAUAACAGACUACUUUCCAAACGGUCUGAUGAGUUGGCUGUUAAGGAUUCUCUGGCUCUCAGUGUGCAGUGUGCAGGUUCUGUGUCUAAUAUGGCCCAACGCCUAUUUGCUCGAGCCCGUCAAGUUGAAUCAUUGGCGGCUGAAGUGAUGAGUCUCAAACAGGAGAUUAGAGGGCUCAAGCAGGAGAAUAAACAGUUGCAUAAGCUCGCACAUAGCUAUGCGACAAACAUGAAGAGGAAGAUUGACCAGAUGCAGGAAUCUGAUGGUCAGAUUUUACUUGAUCAUCAGAGGUUUGUGGGUUUGUUCCAGCAGCAUUUGCCUUCGUCUUCUGGGGCUGUAUCGCGUAAUGAAGCUCCAAAUGAUCAACCUUUGGCUCCUCUUCUUCUUGGAGUUCCGCCGAGUGGUGUGGCUUCAAACAGUCAACCUCCAGCGCCUCUCAUUUCUGGAGCUCUGCCGAGUGGUGAGGCGGCACCUGAUCGUCCUUGAAGAUCCCCUCUUGUAAAUUUGAUUUGUUUUUUUUUUAAAGUAUGUAUAAUGCAAAUUUAUGUAAAAUUUCCAGAAAAAAUAAAUAAAAACGGACUUUAUUUCUCUCAAUGCAUUUGUUUUGUUUUUUUUUUUUUUUUUUUUUUGUAAAUACAUAAUAACAUAUGUAUUUAUUUAUUUAUUCUUUUGUAAUAAAAUUGACUUUCUUUAAUAAAACUUUUAUUUUUUUUUAUUUUGAUAUGACUGAACUCGAAAUUGAAUGUUCGAGCCGCCUACGUACCUUUCCAAAGAAGAGAUCAAGCCAUAACGUAGUUCAAAUGAGUGAUGAAUUUAACAGUGAUUUUGAUGAUGAUUUUGCCGUACACAGUUUAUGCUCUUGCGGGCCAGGAGCUUUGGUGUUGCCUUUUAUGCUCGUGCAAACCAAGAGCGUUGAUGUCGCCUUUUAUGCUCGUACGGGUCAGGAGCGUUGAUGUUGCCUUUUUAUGCUCGUGCAGACCAGGAGCUUUGUGCCAUGCAGUUUAGACUCGUGCGGGGCAAGGAGCUUUGGUUUCGUGCAGUUUAGGCUCGUGCGAACAAGGAGCAUUGGUUUGUGCAAUUUUAUGCUCGUGCAAGGGCUUGGAGGAGAAUUUUGAAUUUUAUCAGCUCGUUUAAACAGGUUCGGGCAGUUUUGGGGGAGGAGAAUUUGGAAUUUCAAUCACAAUCACAUUUUUAGCAAGGAGCCUUGACCGAGUGAUUGAAGAAGUCUUUGGAAAGAAAUCGCGCAUCGUGAUGGGGAUGGACGAUCUAUGUGUUGAAAUUUCAUCAUCUUCAACACGUUCACGUUGCUUUGAAGGUUGACAAGAGCUGCUUUGCCCCCUUUCCGAUUGGCGGACUUGUGGAUGAGAUGUAUGCUUCUUGUGCAAUUUCUUAGGAGUGAACUUUGCUUGUCUUAGGAUGCCCCUGCCUGAGGUUGAGGUAAAAAUUUUGAGUCAAAAGAGCCAGAAGUGAUGGUGGUAUAGUUUGACUUCACCACAUCGUCAAAAUCUAGCUCGAUGAUUCCUUUCUGAGCCAGCUUCAUGAUGAGAUCUUUCAGCACGAAGCACUUUUCUGUCGGAUGACUGAUGAAGCGGUGGAAUUUACAGUACCUUGGACUGUCGGUGCGAUUCAUCUCUUCUGGCCGUCUGCACUCAGGCAAGCCGAUCACCUUCUUUUCCAGCAAGUCUUCUAACAUGGCAACCACAUCAGAGUCGGGGAAUGGAUAAGUUUUCUCCUCAAGCUCCUUCAAAAUGCGUCUACUCAUCUCUUGAUCACGCAAAGCUUCAGCUUGAAUUGCCUUGCCUCGUGUAGGGAUUUUGACGGGAGAUGUGUUGACUGUCAUUGCUUCCUUGGUGGAUUUCCACGUAGAAUCUCCACCUUUGUCUCAAGAAUUUUGUCGUUCUUGUAGUCGGCGAUCGGUUCCUUCUUCCCAUGAUGGGCGAUGCUCAACUCCAUAUCAUGGGCGCGGGUGGCUAAUUCCUCGAAGGUCCGUGGUUUAAUGCCUUGAAGGAUGUAUUGCAAACCCCAUUGCAUGCCUUGGAUGCACAUCUCGAUUGAAGAGGUUUCCGAUAGCCUGUCUUUACAGUCGAGGCUUAGAGUGCGCCAUCUGUUGAUGUAGUCAAUGACUGGCUCGUCCUUCCACUGCUUUGUGCUCAUUAGCUCUAGCAUGCUCACAGUGCGGCGGGUGCUGUAGAAACGGUUGAGGAAUUCCCUUUCCAACUGUUCCCAGCUGUUGAUGAACUCAGGCUCUAGGUCCGUGUACCACUCAAAGGCGUUUCCUUUCACCGAGCACACAAACUGCUUGGCGAGGUAGUCUCCCUCCGUCCCCACGUUGUUGCAAGUUUCGACGAAAUGUGCAACGUGCUGCUUUGGGUUUCCUUUUCCAUCAAACUGCAUGAACUUUGGUGGUUGAUAUCCCCUCGACAUCUUUAGGGCAUCAAUCUUUUUUGAAUAAGGCUUUGAGUACAACCUGGAGGUAUUUGAGCUCCCUUCGUACUGUGCCUUGACGGUGCUGGCAAUCAUCUCUUGCAACUGCUGGAUAGAAAGAGAUCUCAUGAGUGCCGCUUCUUGGUCUGGCUCCGGCUUCACAUCGAUUCUCUCCACCAUAGGCUCAUCUUCUGGGUUAGGGUUUUAGCCGUCCUGUGGCUCCAGUCAGCUAACGAGUGCAGCGAUUUGCAAGUCUUUUUCUUCCACAAUCUGUGUUAGCCUUGCAAUUGCUUCAUUAAUUUGAGCCAGUUGUUCUUCAAUAGAGGUAACGCCGAUAGUCAUGACUUGUGCGACCAAUAGACGUGACUUUCCUUUAGACAUCCAGGAUGCUGAUGAAGAACGUCGUUGGCUGCUUUGGGAUGUCAUCUUGUGUGCCUCAGCAUCAUGCUUUGGUGCCCCCAGCGAGGUCAGGUUGAUGACAGACUCACACCUUUGAUGCUCCCCUUUUUAGCGGCACCAAUUUUGAAGUGGCAUUUUGAGGAGCAGUUGUGGCGCCAAUGGAUUGUCCGUUUGCGGCAGAAGUGCUUAGGAUCCUUCCCUCAGUGGUUGCGAGAACGGCUUGUCCCUUGCUUGAUGCCAUUGACUUUGAGGUGUGUUUGGAUUCCUUGAACGGAGAAAGAGAUGAGAGGUAGAGAUGGUCCCACCGGGCGUGCCAAUUUGUGAACACGGAAAAUUCCUGAAACGAAAGAGACAAGAACAACGUGCACAAAAUAAUAUUAUGUAUUUGAUGAUUUUGGGUUACAAUCUCUCUCUAUUUUGAUCUUCUGAUUCGAUCUCCGUAAGGUGUUGAUUUGUGGAUGUUUCGUUGAUCCAAGGGCCGUCGAGGCUUGAUUUUGGAUGAACUGUUGGAAGUUUCUUCAAGGGCCGUGGGCUUGAUCUUCGAAGGUGGAUUUGAGCGAAUCUUCAAGGAGCCGUUGGGGCUUGAUCUUGCGGAUGAGUGUUUCUUCAAGGGCCGUUGAGGCUUGAUCUUGAAUAACGGUGAUGAGCGGAUCUUCAAGGGCUUUUGGGCUUGAUCUUGAAGAACAGUGAUGAACGGAUCUUCAAGGGCUUUUGGGCUUGAUCUUGAAGAACGGUGGCUUGUUGAUCCAAGGGUCGUCGGGGCUUGAUCUUGGAAGAACGAUGAACGAAGAACGAAGAACACUUUAUUCAAGGGCCGUCGGGGCUUGAUCUUGAAUUGGUGGAUGAUUGUUGAUCCAAAGGGCCGUUGGGGCUUGAUCUUGGAAGAACGAUGAACGAAGAACGAAGAACACUUUCUUCAAGGGCCGUCGGGGCUUGAUCUUGAAAGAACAGUUGUGUGGAUUUAUUGAUGUUGUUGAUCCAAAGGGCCGUUGGGGCUUGAUCUUAGGAUGAACAGUUGUGUGGAUUUGUUGAUGUUGUUGAUCCAAAGGGCCGUUGGGGCUUGAUCUUUUGAUGAACAGUUAUGUGGAUUUGGUGAUGUUGUUGAUCCAAAAGGGUCGUCGGGGCUUGAUCUUUUGAUGAACAGUUGUGUGGAUUUGUUGAUGUUCUUGAUCCAAAGGGCCGUUGGGGCUUGAUCUUAGGAUGAACAAUUGUGUGGAUUUGUUGAUGUUGUUGAUCCAAAGGGCCGUUGGGGCUUGAUCUUAGGAUGAACAGUUAUGUGGAUUUAUUGAUGUUGUUGAUCCAAAGGGCCGUUGGGGCUUGAUCUUAGGAUGAACAGUUGUGUGGAUUUGUUGAACACUUUCUUCAAGGGCCGUCGAGGCUUGAUCUUGAAUUGGUGGAAGUUCUUCAAGGGCCGUUAGGGCUUGAUCUUGAAGGAGGAUUUGACGAAGAACGAAGAGGGCUUUCUUGAUCCUUCGGGAUUUGCUGGAAUUUGGGAGGUUGGAUGCUUGAAAGCUUUAGAGUUUCAAAGCUUCAAGGAUUUUGGAUGUGUGGGGAGUAUUCUCUUCCAUUUUGGGAGUAGAGAAAUGUAUUUGUGAAUUGGUUCAUGAUACCUUGAUGUAGAAGCCUAUUUAUAGGCUUUGAGAAUGAAUCACCACCACAAAAUAUUUUUUUCUUUUCCAAGCACCAUUGCCUAAUUUCCCACUUAAUACAAUUUUAAACUUGAAGUGGUAAUUUUAUGGCCUAAUUUUCCACUCAAUAUCAUUUUAAACUUGAUAUGUGCACGCUUUGUCAUUGCCCAAAAUGAGAAGAAAACCUUGUUUUGAUCUUCAAUGGAUUGAAAUAUGCUUGCCUUGUCAUUGCCCAAAAUGAGAAGAAAAACUUAUGUAAUCCUCCAAGGGUAUUUCUUUUUAUUUUGUUGAGUCUUUUUAUUUGUUGAGUCACACACCAUGUGUACAAUUUGUAUGACACGUGGCAUAUGCCAUGUAUGCCUUGACACGUCAAAAUUUUAAUGCGUUGGUGAACAUUUAUUUCACCGCAAUUUCGAUGUCUACAAUUAUGACUCUUACUUCUAGGUCUCUCCUUCCUCCUACAGUGUUUCAUUUCCACUUAUUAUAUUCAAUUUAUUUAUUUUUAUUUUUUUUUUGAGAAACCUUGAUGAUACGAGAGAUUUUAUUGAUAACGAGAAAAUAAGUUACACCUAGUUAGAGGGAUAUAAACUUUAUCUCUCAUAAAACAGAGACAACAAAAAAGAAUAUACGAAAAAGAAGGGGGACAUAAACCUUUCCCUUCCCUUCUAAAAAAAAAAAAAAAAAACAAGGAUGAUACAAAGAAAAGGGCCGGAUCCUUUUCCUAGGGAUCUCGGGAUCUCACCCGUUCAUCGUAUAUCGUACGAUUAGUUGUCGUUAGGUAUUAUUCAUAUUUAAUUUUAAAUUUUAAAUUUUGAAAUGAUUUCUGACCGCAUGAUGUACGAUGAAUGGAUGAGAUCACAGGAUCCCUAGGAAAAGGAUCAUCGCCAGAUCCUUUUCCAGAAAAGGGGAGAACAUGAAACCUAACCCUUCUAAAACCAAACCUAAAGGUCUAAACCUGAAAAACAAGUUGAACAUCACCAUAAAGUUAGGGAAAAAAAAGCAAGUGAAACAAACUUGGAUGCCGAGAUGCACAUUAAUUUGUGAAGCGGUAGUUAGGCAAGCCAACAUAGUCUGAAAACAAAACAGUAUGAGCCGCUGGCAGAGGAAAAUCAUGUCAUAAUAAAGAUGGAGAAAACUAGCCCAAAUUAGCAAAAUUGUCCGCAACAAGAUUUCCUUAGUAAUAUAUGUGAGAUGCGUAGAAAGUCAUUUUCCAAAUGCAAUCUAAACAUAUAGACCAUUGCGUACGAAGAUGCUAAGAAGGAUCAAAAUUAGACAGUCGAAGAGCAUAAAUAACACUAAAACUGUCACUUUCCAACCAAAGACAAUGUCAACCCUGUUGAUAUGCAAACUCUACACCAAUAAUAAUUAGUGAUAAUUCUACAAAAAAAAAAUUGCGAUGACUAAUCCAUUCACAGAAACCUCCAAGAAAAUGCUGAUAAUUGCCGAUAAUUCUGAUAUUCGAUUCAACCACUUAUCUUCUUGUAAAAAAUGUUGGCCUUGUUGGUACAGGUAAUGGCAUACUUUCAAUUGGCAACAUAGAUAUGACAUCGGACGUGGUGGGCCGAUCAGUUGCAUCUUCUUCCAUGCAUAGCAGACCAACAUUGAUGCAUCUUAUGAACUGAUCUGAAGUACAUGAAUUGUCUUGCAUUGGAUCAAUUAAUUUUAAAGAGGAAACAUUUUAAUCAUUUAGGAUAUCAGAUUCUCUAAAUCUCACUCAAAAAUCUCAACAUUUUAAUCAUAAGAAAGAUUACAUUUUUAUGACUACUUUGAGCAUACAUGGUGAAUUGGAAUUUAUUAUAUUUUCCUUCCAGACUAUAUCAAUUAAACUGCGGUCAUUAAUGGAGACAUUGAUUUAGAUCUAUUUUCCCCCCAAUUGGUUCCACUAAGAUGGACAUUAUUAAUCUCUGCAAAUAUAAACUCGAAGCUACAUAUGUCAGAUUUUGUUAGUCUGUAUUGGACAUGCCAUGGUAUAUAGACAUGUAGUCUCUGCAUUAUAGCUACGAUUUAGUGACAUACAUAUUAGUGACCAAAAGUGAAUGAUGAGAUAAGAAUGCACUUCUUAUUUAUAACUUACUAUGUCCCAUCUAUCCUAUUUGUGCUUCCUUCGAGUUCAUAAUGCGUGAAAAUCCUUACCAUACCAAAGUCAGAAAUUAUGAGGUUCAUAUUUCCAUCUUACUAGUUUUAAGAUCUCUAUGAAUAACCUUCAAUCUUGAAUAUUUGUGUAAAGCAAUACCAGAGCAUUUCCGGCAAUUAUAUUGAAACGCUUCUUCCAAUCUAGUAUACUGCUUCUCUCUGAAUCUGAACAAUACAUAGAGAGAGUAAGAUAAUGCAUUUUUCAAUAUCAGAUUACAGUGAUAGCAUCAAUUCCCAAACAAAUAAAACGCAGUUUAGACUUCUGUUUGGCAUACUAGCUUCUAAUGUACACCAGAAUGCAAAGCCCCAAAAGUUGAACAAGGUUCGUAUGUUGAAGUUCAGAUAUGAGUUUCACUUCAUUCUUAAACUCCAAUGUUCCUUGCACCAAACAUUUUUGUCAUCCACCACUUUGUUAGUGAAUUGUUGUAGGUGAAUAGUUGGUGACCUUGUAAUCCACCACUUUGCUAGUGAUUUGUUGUAAGUGAAUUAUUGGUGGUUUUGUCAUCAACCGCUUGUUUCUUCUUCUCCUUUCAACGUGUGGGCAUCCAUAUUAUUACAACAAUUGGAGAAAUUUUUCAUUGUGACUAGGUGUUUUUAUGUAAGUGGUGAGAAAUUUUAUUUUUUAAAUUGUUAACUUUUUAACACACAUAUCCUACCAAUUAUAUAGUGAUACGUGGUGUAUCACUCCGUGUUGCAAUCACACUAAAUAAUCUCUCCAACAAUUGACGAUUUUUUUUUUCCAAUGGUUUCAUUUUGUCAAACAUAUUUUUCUAUUGAUCUCGGUAGUCGCGUGCACCUAGUUUUCUCUUUUUUUUUUCUAUCCUUUUCUUUUCCAUUUAUUUACUUUACCAAGAAAUGAAUGAAAAUUCUCGUCAACGUUAUCCUUUUUUGAGCUAAGAAACUUGAUCUGUCUACAUUAAAAAACAGAGAAAGAGAGGGCUAGGAUGCUAGAAGGAACGGAUAAAAACUGGAGGAAUAAGGAAACAAGAACAGAAAAGAGAAAAAAGAGGGGGAAAGAAAGAAGGGAGAACAGCCAAAAGAGAAAUAGGGGGAGAGAGACGGGUCACCUGUACAGAGCCCUAUAUUGACAGACAGCUCGUGAGUUAAUCCUGUGCCCCUAACUCCCCUUUUCUUAUCCUCCAUUUGAGUUGCGAGAAAAUCCGGGAAAAUUGAACACCAUGUUUGAAUUUGGUUGCUACUGGUGAAUAUAUUCCUCAUGAUCACAUUUGUGUAUCUUUUUCUACUUUUAAGGUUAAACUAAUAUAAACUGCAGAGUUGUUUUUGAAUCAGCUAGCUCACGCUGCAUGGCAACAAAUUAGGACCACAGCGUUUCCUUUUUCUUAAUGUGUAGGAAUUGGAAUUGGCACUUUGUGAUGAAAUAUGUAAGUUGUUUCACCCUUCGAGUUUCGAAGGCAGGACUUGAUGGAAUUCAAAACGGCAACGGCUAGCUUUUAGUUUAAUUUGUAACGGCUACUUUGUUUUUUUUUUUUUUCUUGUAACGGCUACUCUCUGAUAAGGCUAGCAGGUAAAGGCUUAGUCAUGUAGGGUACGUGUAAGGCUUAGAUUAGAACAGAUAAAAGGCUAGGAUUGCUUAAUGCAACUGUAGCCUUGACUACCCUUGUACUUCUGCUUAUAUGCAGAGAAGAAUGUUGGAGAAUGAUGAUGAAUGAAAUGCAGUAGAGCAGCAACGUUUCGCUUACUGAAAUUCCUGACUAAAAAUCCAUUUUCCUUUAUUUAUUUUUUUCAUCACAAAUCACCACAAACAUCAUAAUCAAAACUCUAACAAUUUGUUUGUUGCAGGCAUGGGAAUUAUGGAAGGAAGGCACAGUUCUAGAAUUAAUGGAUCCAACAUUAGGCGAUUCAUGUAUCAAAGAUCAAUUGUUAAGAUGCGUUCACGUUACUCUGCUAUGCGUGGAAGAAACUGCAGCUGAUCGGCCUACCAUGUUCGUAUCUAUGUUGACAAAUCAAAGCACACCAUUGCCAUUACCUGGAAAGCCAGCAUUUUUUACAGGAAGAAAUGUGGUUGAAGCUGGUCUGAGUGGAAAAAAAUCAGAAAUUUUUUCCACAAAUGAGUUGUCCAAUUCCACUGAUGUCCCACGAUGAAUUAACAUAGUAUUAUGUUUACGGUUUUGAAAGGAAUCAGAUAUUGAACCUUUGGCGAGAUUCUUCCCCACACCCGUUCAGUAAUCUACUUCAGUUGCCUGUAUUUUUACUUGCUUUUAUUUGUAUGGUGGAACUCAUUUAGUUGGAAAAUUACUUUUUCCAGACUCUAAUUUACCUGUGGUAAGAUCAAUUAUAAUGGCUGUUGGCAUUGUGCUCUCUGUUCUCUGCUGUAAGCCUGUAAAACGUUCAUUUAUAUAUAAUAACAAAUAGAUUAAGCAAGAUGAACGAUACUAAUGUUAUGUGUUUAAAGAAUCUACCUGAUCAGGGUACGCAGCAGUGGUAGUAGUGCCAAUUCAUACGAUCCUCUUACAAUUUUAUAAAAAUAAUUUCAUGUCCACACAACUCAAACCCUUUAACCAUACAAGGUCAUACAUUCCUUUUUCCUAAAGCCAGCAAGGGACAGUAGUUAAUUAAGGACCUUUUGGCAUAUAUAUAGAUUUACCAUAAAUACUGACAUGGGUUGAAAUAUCAAGUGAAAUAUCGAUGAUAUGACAGAAAAAAGAAAUUAUACGAGUGCAUAAACUGAAAGGAGAAAUUAUAUUAUAAAAACGUAACAAACUUUUACAAGGAACACAAAGUUACAUUGAAAAUAAAACAUCAGAUAAUUACGGUUGAUGUGCCUCUGAGGAAACAGCUUAGUGAGUUAGCCACCUUCUUCCUCAGGCCCAAGGUCUCAAAUCAAAAUUUAUUUUCCAGAUCAAGUAUCUUUACACCUAUGGAAGCGAGUAUAUUGAGGAACACCAGACAUGUUAGUACUAUACCUUCAUCUUCCUACUAUGUCAGAAUAGGACAAGCCAUUUCCUGAUAAAACUUUUGAUUUGUUUCCACAUAUUGUAUUCAAUUCAAGCUCUUUUCUUCCUGUAAAAAAUGCUGGCCUUGUUGGUACAGGUAACGACGUGCUUUCAUUUAUCUACAUACAUAUGACAUCGGACAUGGUGAGCUGAUCAGGUGCAUCUUCUUCCACGCAUACCAGACCAACAUUGAUGCAUCUUAUCAACUGAUCUUCGUACAUGAAUCGCCUAGCAUUGGAUCCAUUAAUUUUAGCCGUGCACCUUCUUUCCAUAGCCCCAAGCCUGAAAUAACCUUAUAUUCAUUUAGGAUAUCAGACUCUCUAAGUCUCACCUCAAAGAGGAAACAUUUUAAUCAUAGAAGGAUUUUAUUUGACAUACCUAUCUAACUAUAUUGAGCACGCGAUCAUUGUAGAUGCUAUUAUUUUUCGUUCCAGAUAAUCUCAAGUGUUAAUACUCCAAAGCUAUAACGUCAGAUUUUGUAGAAAAGUUUUCCCCCAUGGCAUACUCAGGAGAUAGGUCACCAUACAUACAUAAAUGCAUGAUUAGUAACCAAAAUUGAAUGAUGUGAUUAGAAUGGACUUCUUAUUUAUAACUUAUUAUGUCCCAACAACAUAUUCGUUAUGCGUGAAAAUCCUUGCCAUACCAAAGUGAGAAAUUUUGGGGAUUUUAUUUUCAUCUAGUAUGUUACUAGCUUUGAAACCUUACCUUAUAAACAGGUCCAAACCCCAAAAGUCGAACAAGGUUCGUAUGUUGAAGUUCAUAUAUGAGUAUUCAUUCUUAAACUCCAACGUUCCUUGCACCAAACAUCUUUGUUAUCCACCACUUUGUUAGUGAUUUGCUUUAAGCGAAUUAGUAGUGGUUUUGUCAUCUACUGUUGGAUUUGUGGCUCAUGUAGUAGGCCUUUGUAUUUUGUGAGCCCAACAGCCCAAAUUGUUUUGGCCUCAAUUAUCCAUGUGAAAGAGUGGGUAGGGUUCCUGAUGCCUGAUGGUUUAAUUGGCAGCAGCCUUAUAUAAGGCUUGAUGCCUUUUGUUUUAAGAGCAGCCAACAGCUCUAUUGGAAGAAAAGAAUGAGAGCGAUCCCCCUAUGUUGGUAAUCACUCAUUCAAAGGUACUGAUGUUGCUUUUGUGGUUUUUGGGACAGAAGGAGUUUAGUACGUAUUUUCAUCAUCUCCAUUUGUUUUUUGUUUGAGUGAGAGCUUCGGAGUGUAUGCGGGAGAGUUUAAAACUCUAUUUGUAAUCUUCAUUUUGAUUAUUAGUGAAAUAUUAUGGUCGUCUCCAAAUUAGACGUAGGCUUACGUCGAGUCAGUACAAACCCUUAUGUCACUUUAGGUUGUUUGUCUUGUCAUAUAUUUCUGUAUUAGUUAUUGGUUUCAUAUUUGAUGCUUCACCACAACAUCCUCCACCACUUUGUUAAUGAUUUGAUAUCAGUGGAUUAUUUGGUGGUUUUGUCAUCCACCACUUGUUUCUUCUUCACCUUUCAAUAUGUGGCCAUCCAUAUUAUUAGAAUAAUUGAGUCUGUUUUUACUUUUCCCUAAUAAUUUAAUUUUGUCAAAAAUAUUUUUCUAUUCCUAUCAGUAGUCGUUUUCCCUUAUUUUCAUUUUGUUGGUGCACAAAAUCAGUGGGGAUUUUGGUACAACAGAAAGUGUUAAGUUUGUGACCUUCGUUAGAUUGCUUCGGUCACUAGUGUGGAUAAGUAUGUAAAUGGAUAGAGACAGGAAAGCAAACACAAGAUGUACGUGGUUCACCUAGAUUGGCUAUGUUCACGGAGUAGAAGAGUUCUCAUUAAUUGUGAAGGGUUUACACAAGUACAUAGGUUCAAGCUCUCCUUUAGUGAGUAUUAGUGAAUGAUUUAGUACAAAUGACAUUAGGAAAUAUUGUGAGAGAAUGAUCUCUAUUUAUAGAAGAGAGUUUCUAGUUCCAUUCUGACAUUGACGCGUGUCGUGUUGUGAUUGGCUUCUGAUGUUGACACGUGUCGCGCUAUGAUUGGCUUCUGAUGUCGACACGUGUCGCGCUGUGAUUUGCCUCCUGGUUGGAGGGAAACUCUUCUGGGUCCUUGACGGUAUAACGUUGAUCGGUGCUCAGUAGUUUCGGGAUUGGUCAAGUAUGGUACAAACACAUUUCUUUUUCAUUUCCACUUAUUUACUUCAUCAAGAAAAGAAUGAAAAUUCUCAUCAAAUAAUAUCCUUUUUUUAGCAAAGUCUACAUUAAAAAGAGAGAGAGAGAGAGAGAGAGAGAGAGAGAGAGAGAGAUGGCCUUAGAACCCUCGAUCGUAAUAAUAUCCUUUUUUGAGCAAAAUCUACAUUAAAGAGAGAGACAGGACCUUAUGACCCUCUAUAAAGAACAAGACUUGGCUGCUGAACAAUUCAGCAAUCCCUCCUGCGUGUCGACACGGGAUUGGGUAAGCAGGAGUGGUUGCUGAAUUGUUUAGCAUCCAAGUUAAUUCCCUCUGUAAAAGGGGAAAAACUGGAGGACGACAGAAGAAAGAAAAAAGAAAAAAAAGGGGGAGAGAGAAUAGAGGGGAGGACAACUAAAAGAGAAAAAGGGGUUUUCCAAAAAAAAAAAAGGUGGGAGAGAGACGGAUCACUUGCACAGAGCCCCUUAUCAAAGAAAGGGGAGAAAAAUGAUAAGGUAACAGAGAACAAAAUUUUAAAUUAAAUUUGUAAAUUGAAAACUGUGAACUAAUAGGAAAUAAGCACGUUAAUCAACAUUUAAAUUAAUAAUCUAAGUAUUAAUAUUCACAUCAUUUGAUUUACAAAUUUUAGUUUAAAUAUUUAGUCUCCCUAGUAUUACCCUGAGAAAAAACUAGGAUUGGAGUUCGCCCGCAAGUUUUGAUCGAUAAUAGUAAAAAAUUAACACUCAAUUUCAUAAAUGUCAUUUUUUAUAAAAUCUUUCAAAAAUAAUAGAAAAUUCACUAAAAUAGACUUAAAUACCUUCAAAAUUAAACCUAAUAAACAUAAGGAUGUAGUUGAUAAUGUAAUGGAAAACAUCCUCAUUGCGGCCUCUUUAUAACUAUGUAGUUUUUCAAUAAGGAAAAAAAAUCAGUUGGAAGGAGGUCUGUGAGAUUUCGCAAGUGUUUGUCUUGAGAUUGAUCAAUGCCCAGCUUUAUAAAAACACAAAUAAAUCAGAAAAAAAAAAAUUAUCUGCUAGGAUUUGAUAUGUGAGUUGCUGAUUGGGAAUAAUAUUGUCGAUUGUGAGACAAUAUUAUCCAUCUACUAUUUACUUUGGUUCCUCCUCAUUCAAUCAACCAAAAGAGCAAAUGUAUGGACACAUUUGGGCACGAGAUAGAGUCCAAAAUUACAAGCUAGCUAGUCAGUCAGCACAGUGGACAAACUGCUGAAUAAUCGAAGGAACUAUACACAAGUUAAAUGAAACAGAAACCGGUUUAGGCUCAGUUACUGCAGCAAAUGGAGAAAGAUACGAAUGACUGCAAUCUUGAAUCUCCGACUUUCUUGAAUUUCUUCCUAUAUAUGGAUGGAUGGCCGCUAAUAUUCGGACAAGUCGAUUAUGUUCAAGAAUUUCACAGGAUUUUUCAUAUGCUUUACGACCUCUUCUGCAAUUCUAUUCUUCUUGGAGUAAGAAGAGCUCAAAGUUUGGAGCGGUUGAGUUGCUCCCUUACAACUCCCACCAGAAUUCCAUUAACCCAUUUCGGAGAAAGAGAAAGAAAGGGAAAAUGCAGAGAAAUUAAGAAAAGUAAAUAACAAUAUUCUUCAUUCAUACCUUCUUUACAUCAGAAAAGGAUUUAAAUACAUAUAAAGAUAAUAGGGUUUGAAGUGUAAUAGGCCUAACGGAAAUACAUGUAAUGGGCCUAAUUAGUCAUAACAGAAAUCCAAUAACUUAGAGUCGCAUCAAAACUGGUAUGCACAAGUUUGAUAUAACCAACUCCCCUAGCGACCUCACACUUUGUGCAUCUUUUUCCAAACAAACAUUCUGAUACAUUGAAGAGUUAUUGCUGAACCAGCUCUGCUUGGAAUGGGAUGAUUAAAAACGUACAAGACAAGAAAUUUUUCAUUGUAAUAGGAAUACAAGUAGUACACCACGUGUUUUAAUUGAAGUGGUGAGAAAUUUUAUUUUUUAAGUUAUAAACUUUUUAGCACACAUAUCUCACCAUUUAUAUAAUGACACGUGGUGUACCAUCCAGUGUAUCAGUCAUACUAAAAAAUCUCUUGUACAAGACACACUAUAGCAUAGCAUUGAACGCUAUUAAUGUAAAAACUCAAUUACAGCUGCUGUUGAAAAUCAAACAAAACAGUUGCACAUUCGAAAGAUAAAACCAUGGUAGUUGAAAAAAGGAAAUGAUUGGGCAGACAACUAUUUCAUAUACGUGCAUGAAACAUGUGUAGCUCCAAUCUUAUGAAACCUUUUCCAAAGUUGUGUGCAUUCAUGUUUCAAUGGUACAAAUGGGCCUUCCGUCUUGUUCUACAUCUAUUUGUUGAUUGGUUAUCUUUUUAAAAGUUUUGUCGGCCACAUGAACUAUGAAGUUUAAAUCACUUCACACAUAAAAAUUUGCUUUAGAUUUCCAGUUGAGAGGGUGAGAUGUAGAGCAGAAAGUUGAGAGAGAAAGGCGAGAGAGUGAGGAGAGAUUUUUCAGUGUGAUCGGUACAUCAUAUGUCAUUAUACAAAUUGUGAGAUAUGUAUGCUAAAAAGUUAAAAACUUAAAAAAUAAAAUUCUCUACCACUUCUAUUAAAACACGUGAUAUACUAUUUUAUUGAGAAAUGAUUUCAUUUCAUUGAUUGAAUAAUAAUUAGUUACGCUGAGGUAUAUAUAUAACCUAGAUUUACACAGGUAAAGAAAAUAGUUACAUGGUAACUAUUCUAACAACUAACCAACUUUUACUAAAGCUAGCUUUUACUAUAUUCUUUUACAAUAGUAACUUGCUCUUCACACCCCCUCAAGCUAAAAGGAGAAGGUUGAAGUGAAAGCUUGGAUCGAAGCGAGAAAUCUUGGUCUUGGCAGAGAUUUAGUGUGAAUAUCUGCUAGUUGAUCCGCACUACAUACAAAUUGAACAGUAAGAAGCUUAGCCAAAACGAGCUCUCGAAUGUAAUGAUAAUCGAUUUCAACAUGCUUUGUUCGAGCAUGAAAAACUGGAUUUGAGGCUAAGAUAAUAGCAAAAACAUUGUCACACCAUAUUUGUGGCAAAGAUGACAAUUUGAAUCUAAUAUUAGUAAAAAGUUGACAGAUCCAAGUAAUUUCAAUAGUGGUAUAUGCGAGUGUUCAGUACUCAACUUCAGUGGAGGAUCUUGCAACUGUGUGUUGUUUCUUUGCACUCCAACUAACAAUGCAAAGACCAAGAAAAAUGUAAAACCCACUAGUGGAUCUUCUAUCCCAAGAGUAGUCUACCCAAUCGGCAUCUGAAAAGGCUUUAAGAAGUAGGGGAGAUGUAGUUUUGGGAAACCAUAAUCCAUAACCAAGUGUCCCUUUUAGAUACCUGAGUAUUCGUUUCACUACUUGAAUGUGAGGUUCUCUAGGAGAGUGCAUGACAUGGCACACCAAGUUAACAGCAAAAGACAAAUCAAGCUGAGUCCAUGUAAGGUAUUGGAGGGCUCCAACAAUGGAUCUAUAUCCCUCUGGAUUUGAUAAUAAAGAACUUGUGUGAUCAAGUUUGGCUGAACUAAGUAGAGUGUUACAUGACUUUGCCCCAUCCAUUUUGGUUCUCUUGAGAAGGUCUAGUAUGUGUUUGGAUUGAUGAAUGAAAGCUCCUGAGGUUGAUUUCUGAACUUCCAGACCAAGAAAAUAAUGAAGAUCUCCGAGAUCCUUGACUGGAAAUUGAGAGCUCAACUGAGAAAUGAUGUUGUUGCAAACAAUAGAAAAUGGUCCUGUCACUAUGAUAUCAUCCACAUAAACAAGAACCAAAACCAAAGUACGUUUGUGCAACACAAAAAGACUAUGAUCAGAGCGUAAAGCUUUAAAUCCCAUGGAGAAAAGUGCAAAUUGAAGUUUUUCAUAUCAAGCACGAGGUGCUUGCUUUAAGCAAUAUAAGGAUUUCUUCAAGUGACAGACAUGAGUGGGAUUAUCUUAAUCAAUGAACCCGGGUGGCUGAGCCAUAUAUACAUUCUCUUUCAAAUAACCAUGCAUAAAUGCAUUACUUACAUCCAACUGAUGUAGAAACCAGUUUGAUUGUACUGCUAGAGUGAGAAUAAUUCUUAUAGUCACAAGUUUAGCAACUGGGCUAAAAGUAUCACUAUAAUCAAUGCCUUCUUGUUGAUUGUAACCUUUAGCAACUAGCCAAGCCUUGUAUCGAUCCACAGAACUAUCUGGUUUCCUCUUAAUCCGAAAAACCCAUUUACAUCCAACCAAAUUAUAAAUGGAGGUAGAGGGAACAAGCUGCCAAGUUCCUGUAUUUUGUAAAGCAUUGAAUUCAUCUUGCAUUGUUGCCCUCCACUGAGGAUGUUUUGAAGCUUGGAUAUAUGUAGUGGGAAUAAACUCAUUGUCUAAAUAAGAUGGCACAUGAUGUUUUGUGGUAGUAAAUGCCUUAGGUUUGUAUAUCCUUGACUUGGAUCGUGUUUGGAUUGGGUGAACAAAUGAAACAAAAGGUACAUGAUGUGGUUCAGGGUUUAGAGAAUGAUGGACUUGUAUAGGAGAAGAGUGAGGUGAGGAAGGUUAAGAAACUGGCUCAAGUUAAGUAGGUAAGGAAUGUAUGGGUGUUGUAACAGGGGAAUGGGUAGGAUUAGGAGAAUAAAGAUUGGGGAAUGUGAGUGAAAAGGGUGAGUAAAUUUUUGUGGUAUUUGGAGUGGAGGAUUUAAGAAGAUGUGGAUCAUGAAAGGGAAAAGUUUGUUCAUCAAAAUGGACAUGUCUAAAGAGAUAAACCCGAUUAGUGAAGGGAUCUAGACAUCUAUAACCCUUGUAAGCUAAAUUGUAGCCAAUGAAAACACACAUCUUACUCUUAGGUUCUAGCUUAGAUUUGGUGUAUGGUUUCAGCCAGGGAAAACAUUGACAUCUAAAGACCCAAAAGGAAUUGUAAUCUGGAACUUUUCUGAAAAAUUGUUCCCAAGGAGAAGACUUGUUGACUGGAGGUAGGCGAUUAAUAAGAUACACUGCAAUAAGAAUAGCUUCAACCUAGAAUUUAUGAGGAACCUGUGAGGCAAUGGGAAUAGUUCGAGCAGUCUCAACAAUAUGUCUGUGCUUUCUUUCAGCACAACCGUUUUGCUGAGGAGUGUAAGGACAAAUUAAUUGUUGCUGAAUGCCAUGUAAAGACAAAUGAUGCUUGAACUCAGAACUAAUAAACUCACCCUCUGAGUCUGAUCUUAAAGUGCCAAUCUUGUGUCCAUAAAGAUUCUCAACAAGAGCUUGAAAUUGCACAAAAAUGUGAAACACAUCUGAUUUAUGUUUGAGAGGAUACAACCAAGUAUAUUUGGUAAAAUCAUCUACAAAUAUGACAUAAAAUCGAUAACCACUAAUAGAGCAUAUUGGAGCUGACCCCCAAACAUCUGCAUGAAUUAAUUCUAGAGACCUAGAAGUAAUACAGAGAGAUUCGUGAAAUGGUAACUUGGCACAUUUGCAGAAUGAGCAUGAACCUUCGUUGUAGUAGAAGAAGAAGCAUAAAAUGGAUAGAGACCACAGCUAACAGGAGCUCUAAAAAGCAUCAUCCCCGUAGUAAGAUCCUUGACAUUGAAGUUAAAGGGAUUGAGUGUUAAUGAACGCCAAUUAUCACGCAAAAACAUAUUGGCACAAAGAAGAUCAUGCUUCAAUUGUGGAACAUGUAACACAUUCUUUAAUUGAAAAUUUGCAUAGGGUGUUUUAAGUAAAGUAGAACCGGUAUGGAGAAUUGGCAAACCUUGGCCAUCUCCAAUAUAGACUUUAUCUGGACCAGUAUAAGCCUGCAGGUUCUGAAGAUUUUGAAUAUUGUUGGUCAUAUGAGAGCUUGCUCCGGAAUCAAGUAGCCAUGGUGGAGGAGAAGAAGUGUUGGAAGAUGCAUAAAUCGCAAGUUUAGCUAGCGGAAUAUGGCCUUGAAAAUUUGGAUUCAUGAUGUUGGAACAAUCAAUAGCAAGAUGCCCAGUGUCCUCACAAAUUUGACAUGGAGUUAUUGCAGAGUUGAAAGAUCUGAAGCCACGAUUUCCACCUCGAUUUUCACCAUGGUUGGUUGAGGUAUUAUUGUAUCGAUUGUAUCGAUUACAGUUGUUGUAGCUCUUCUGAGAGUUGUUCCUCUAAAAAUUACCUCGAUUAUUGCUAUUGGCAGAAUUCUAAGAAGCAUUAGACUGAGCAUUGUAUGCUUAAGGCUGUUAAGGUGUAGGAAGCAAAGGAGGAGCAUUUGAAGCUGUUGGAAUAGAGGUAAAGGCCUGAUACAGUUCAGAGGAACCUUGAGUUUGCUUUCGGUGAGCAAGAGCCAUUUCUUUGCUGAGAAGAAAUCCAUGUAAAUCAUCAAUAGUAGUAUCAGCGAGACGAAAUUGAAUUGAAUCCAUGAAGGAAUCAUAUUCAUCAGGCAAUCCAUUAAGAAUGAGGUAAAGGAGAUCUGAAUCAUCAACUGGUGCACCGGCAACAGCGAGAGCAUUUGUAAUUUCUUUGAUGCAUUGCAAAUAUUCAAAGAUUGUGGAAGUUCCUUUUGACAUCGAUUGCAAAUUCGAUAUCAACUGAUGAAUGUGAGAACAAGAGACUCCACCAAAUCGCUUUUCAAGAUUUUGCCAAAGUUCACGCACUGAUUGAACACCAAUAGUAAAGGGAAUCAAAUCCUUAGAGAGAAUGGAAUUGAUCCAAAUGAUGAUGUUUUGAUCUUUUUCGUACCAAAUCUCAAAGGCUGGAUUUGGAAUCGAGGACAAAUUUCUAGAAAUAUCAACAAGAAAUUAAGACGGUGGCGGUUUAGAUCCAUUAACAAUGCCAAUGAGCUUGUAGCAGCGGAAGAUCGGCUCGAACAGAGAACGCCAAACAAGGUAAUUAUGACGCUUGAGUUUUGUUUGAAUCAUACUCCCGAUAUUUUGGAUUGUGAUGGAGUUGAUUGAAGCUUGAAAUGAGGAGUUAGGGUUUGUGUUCAUCGGAGAAGAAUUGAGAUUAGGAGGCAGCGAAGAAGAAGGAUUCGCAAUCAUCAGAGAAGAAGCAGCAUGUGCAGCCACUGGAGAGGAAGAAUGAGAAGAAUUUGCUGCCAUUGAUAAACAAGAUUAAAGGUUUGCAGACGAAAGCUAUGGUGUUUGGUAGGUAAGAAAAUAAGCAAGAAAAUAGCCAAAGAGGAUCGGAGUCGGUGGACUUAGGCGAGAGAUACCAUAUUGAGAAUGAUUUCAUUUCAUUGAUUGAAUAAUAAUUAGUUACACUGAGGUAUAUAUAUAUAUAACCUAGAUUUACACAGGUAAAGAAAAUAGUUAUAGUGGUAACUAUUCUAACAACUAACCAACCUUUACUAAAGCUAGAUUUUACUAGAUUCUUUUACCACAGUAACUUGAUAAAACUUUCAUCUUCCUACUAUACCUUCAUCUUCCUACUAUGUCAGAAUAGGACAAGCCAUUUCCUGAUAAAACUUUUGAUUUGUUUCCACAUAUUGUAUUCGAUUCAACCUCUUUUCUUCCUGUAAAAAAUGCUGGCCUUGUUGGUACAGGUAACGACAUGCUUUCAUUUGUCAACAUACAUAUGACAUCGGACAUGGUGAGCUGAUCAGGUGCAUCUUCUUCCACGCAUAGCAGACCAACAUUGAUGCAUCUUAUCAACUGAUCUUCGUACAUGAAUCGCCUAGCAUUGGAUCCAUUAAUUUUAGCCGUGCACCUUCUUUCCAUAACCCCAAGCCUGAAAUAAUCUUAUAUUCAUUUAGGAUAUCAGACUCUCUAAGUCUCACCUCAAAGUGGAAACAUUUUAAUCAUAGAAAGAUUGUAUUUGACAUAGCUAUCUUACUAUAUUGAGCACGCAAUCAUUGUAGAAGCUAUUAUUUUUCCUUCCAGAUAAUCUCAAGCGUUAAUACUCCAAAGCUAUAUGUCAGAUUUUGUAGAAAAGUUUCCCCCAUGGCAUACUCAAGAGACAAGUAACCACUGAAGGCACGAUUUAGCUUAUACAUACAUAAAUGCAUGAUUAGUAACCAAAAGUGAAUGAUGUGAUAAGAAUGCACUUCUUAUUUAUAACUUAUUAUGUCCCAACAAUCCUAUUUGUGAUGCGUGAAAAUCCUUGCCAUACCAAAGUCAGAAAUUUUGGGGGUUUUAUUUUCAUCAAGUAGUAUGUUACUAGUUUUGAAACCUUACCUUAUAAACAGGUCCAAACCCCAAAAAUCGAACAAGGUUCGUAUGUUGAAGUUCAGAUAUGAGUAUCGAUUCAUUCUUAAACUCCAACGUUCCUUCCACCGAACAUCUUUGUUGUUCACCACUUUGUUAGUGAUUUGUUUUAAGAGAAUUGGUGGUGGCUUUGUUAUUUACUGUUGGAUUUGUGACUCAUGUAAUCGGCCUUUGUAUUUUGUGAGCCCAACAGCCCAAAUUGUUUCGGCCUCAAUUGUCCAUGUGAAAGAGUGGGUAGGGUUGCUGAUGCCUGAUGGUUUAAUUGGCAGCAGCCUUAUAUAAGGCUUGAUGCCUUUUGUUUUAAAUGGAGAGCAGCCAACAGCUCUAUUGGAAGAAAAGAAUGAGAGCGAUCCCCGUAUGUUGGUAAUCACUCAUUCGGUACAGAUGUUACUUUUGUGGUUUUUGGGACAGAAGGAGUUUAGUAUGUAUUUUCAUCAUCUCCAUUUGUUUGGUUUGAGUGAGAGCUUCAGAUUGUAUGUGGGAGAGUUUAAAAUUCUAUUUGUAAUCUUUAUUUUGAUUAUUAGUGAAAUAUUAUGGUUCAAAUUAGACGUAGGCUUACACCGAGCCAGUACAAACCCUUAUGUCACUUUAGGUUGUUGUCUUGUCAUAUAUUUUUGUAUUAGUUUAUUGGUUUCAUAUUUAACACUUCAGCACAACAUCCUCAACCACUUUGUUAAUAAUUUGAUAGAAGUGAAUUAUUGGUGGUCUUUAUAAUCCACCACUUGUUUCUUCGUUCACCUCUCAAUAUGUGGGCAUCCAUAUUAUUAGAAUAAUUGAGUCUGUUUUUACUUUUCCCUAAUAAUUUAAUUUUGUCAAAAAUAUUUUUCUAUUCCUCUCAGUAGUCGUUUUCCCUUUUUUCAUUUCUUUUUCCUUUCCACCUAUUUACUUUAUCGAGAAAAGAAUGAAAAUUCUCAUCAACAAUAUCCCUUUUUAGUCAGGAGGAUCCUUUCCUUGGGCUCAGGAGAGGAUCCAAAUUCCUCUAUAAAAAGGAGGAAAAACUCGAGGACAAAAUAAAAAAGAAAAAAAAGGGGGAGAGAGUAGAGGGGUGAACAGCUAGAAGAGAAAAAGGGGGGAGAGAGACGGGUCACUUACACAGAGCCCCUUAUCAACAGAAAGAAGAGAAAAAUGAUAAGGUUACAGAAAAUAAAAUUUUAAACUAAAUUAGUAAACUAAAAAAUGUGAAUCAAUAGGAAAUGAGUACGUUAAUCAAUACUUCAAUUAAUAAUCUAAUCAUCAAAAUUCACAUAAUUUGGUUUACAAAUUUUAGUUUAAAUAUAUAGUAUCCUUAGCAUUGCCCCUAGAAAAAACUAGGAUUGGCGUAGGCCUAUGAGUUUUGAUCGAUAAUGGUAAAAAAUUAACACUCAAUUUCAUAAAUGUCACUUUUUAUAAAAUCUUUCAAAAAUAACAGAAAAAUCACUAAAAUAAAUUUAAAUACCUUCAAAAUUAAACCUAAUAAACAUAAGGAUGUAGUUGGUAAUGUAAUGGAAAACAUUCUCAUUGCGGCCUCUUUAUAACUAUGUAGUUUUUCAACGAGGAAAAAAAAAAUUCAAUUGAAAGGAGGUCAGUGAGAUUUCGCAAGUGUUUGUCAGAGAUUGAUCAAUGCCCAGCUUUAUAAAAACACAAAUAAAUCAGAAAGAAAAAAAAAAUUAUCUGGUAGGCUUUGACAUGUGAGUUGCUGAUUGGGAAUAAUAUUGUCGAUUGUGAGACAAUAUUAUCCAUCUAUUAUUUACUUUGGUUCCUCCUAGUCUCAGUUACUGCAGCAAAUGGAGAAAGAUACGAAUGACCGCAAUCUUGAAUCUCCGACUUUCUUGAAUUUCUUCCUAUAUAUGGAUAGAUGACCGCCGAUAUUCGGAAAAGUCGAUUAUGUUCAAGAAUUUCACAGGAUUUUUCAUAUGCUUUAUGACCUCUUCUGCAAUUCUAUUCUUCUUGGAGUAAGAAGAGCACAAAGUUUGGAGCGGCUGAGUUGCUCCCUUACAACUCCCACCAGAAUUCCAUUAACCCAUUUCGGAGAAAGAGAAAGCAAGGGAAAAUGCAAAGAAAUUAAGAAAGGUAAAUAACAAUAUUCUUCAUUCAUACCUUCUUUACAUCGUAAAAGAGUUUAAAUACAUAUAAAAGUAGUAGGGUUUGAAGUGUAAUGAGCCUAAUUAGUCACAACAGAAGUCCAAUAGUUUAGAGUCGCAUCAAAACUGACAUGCACAAGUUCGAUAUAACCAACUCUGUGGAUGCAAAUUUCUUCCUCCUCGAUCUUGGACGAUUUUGCACCUACAAAACAAUUAACACCUUAGGUUAAGGCCAAGAGCCUCACGCGCCCACGAUGAAUGGGGGGGCUUUGGCCGAAGAACCUCCGAUGCCAAAGUUAGAAUUUAGAGAGAAAGAGUGUUUAGAGAAUUUUGGGAUUUUUGUCAAAGUGUUGGAAUUAGCUUUUUGGUGAGAAUGGGAGUAUAUUUAUAGGGAUAGGAGGUGGCUAGGGUUUUUAGGUUUAAUUAGCCAAUUUAUUUGGCUAUUAAACAUAAAAUGAAUGUUUUGGUGGUUUUUUGUAUAAUUGGCUAAAAAAGGAAGAAAUGGUGGGAAAAGGUAGAAAAAAGGUAAUGGAUUAGGUUUUUCAAUGGGAUAGCCGGCCCUCUUGUGUUUUUUAGGUUUGAGUGGAUGUUUCAAAUUGACAAUUAAGGGAUUGAUUAGGUAAUUAAUCCCUUAAUUAGUCAAUUAUUAUGAUUUUAUGAAAUAUGAAAGGAAUAAGUAUAUUAUUUAGCUAAUUGAUUAGCUAAAUAAUGAAAUGGGAAAAAUAUAUGAAUAAAUUAGGUUUUAAGUUGAUACCUAUUUUGGGCACUUUUGACUUGGUUGAAAAAAUGAUUCUCUACUGCUCGCGUGUAGGAAACCCGGUAUGCCUCGAGGGUAUUUUUGUUCUCUUUUGUCCAAAAGUCCACAUGUCGCCUAGUGAAUAUUUUUGGCUCCACAAAUGCCCCCACACCUGUUGGGCUGCUCGCAAAAAAAGGGCAGCAGGUGUAGAGAUCUUCUUGCUUUAGGAAACUUAAGACUGCUUCCUAUUUUGAUGUUGAUUCUCUCUUUAAUAGGAAAUUAGAUCCUUCUAGGAAAGGGAAAUAAAUUUUCUCUCAAAGCCUAUUUAAGUCCACCUUAAGUGGGUUAUUAAAUCAACUUUGGAGAGCGAUUUAUUCUACCCUACAAGAGAGAGAUAGCUUAGAGGAUAUUUGUUCCCCCUCCUCUAGCAAUCUUCUACAUCUUGCCCGUGCAAAGGACCGUCUUUCGUUGCUUUCUUCGUCUUCUUCGUGCCGCACCGAUGUAAGAAAAAUUUAAUUUUUCUUGCCUUAUUCUUGGAUAGUGCUAUUGCGGGGCAGCCGUCGGGGUGGUGCGGCACAUCGGCUGGCAGGGGCCAGGAGUUGGCUCAGCAUGGGCCGAGGAGAUGUUGUGGCAGGGACCACUGCUUGGGCAGCUUGGCUUAGCUUGAGCCAAAAGGCAGCUUGUGCAACUAGGGUCGCGGAUUGUGGCGCUGGGGCGCAGUGCUAGGCGAGCCGCAUGGCUCAUGUCAUUUGGGCUCUUGGACCUGACUCGGGCUAGGCUGGUGAUUGAGAGAAAUAAGGAGAUUGCGGGUCUCAUGGGCUGCUGGAAUGUUGGGCAUGCAGGCCUCCUGCCUGUUGGAAUGCUGGGUUGAGCUCCCCUGCUGAGUACCAUGAAUGUCGUUGGCUGCUUAGUCCUCUUUGCCGAAAGAAAGGUGGGCUGCUCCAGAAAGAGGAGGUAAAGAGGAUCAAGGCGGAUGCAUUGGCUCGUCUGAUCGCUAUCGUGGAGCUUACUAUGAAUGAAGAUGGAAAGAAGAGAUCUUCCCCGCCUGCUCAUGAGAUGCCAGUUAAGAAAAAACUGAAGACUUCUUCUGCUGCUCAUGAGGGUCCGCUUGCUACCGAGAGGUAUGUGAUUGACAUGAUUUUCCAAUGGGAAGAAAUGUAAGGCUGCUAGAUCUGAGCAUGUGGCGUCUUCCAUGUUGAGAAUGGCUAGUACAAUUGUGGAUAAGAUUACUCAGCGUAAAGGUUUUAUCAUGCCCCCAGUGCCGAAGUCUGUACCAGGACGUUCUUUGGGAGCCAAGUCCGGUUCACCUUUGUAGAGACUUGCUAUUAUGAAGAGUGGUAAGGUGGACUCUGCUGCUAAAGUGGCGCCAAAGCCUGCUCCCUUUGCUGCUGAGAUUGAUUCGCCUCAGAUUCAAGAUCUUAAGCUUGCAAUUUCUGAGCUUCGUUUCGCUACUUAUGCUAAGAAGAGAGUGGAUGAGCUUCUCUAUUUCUCCGGAAGACUUGCUUGCUUUUACUUUUAAGGCUUCCAUUGGUGAAGUAGUUGGAGAAGUUAGUGCCCAGACUGGGGCAGCCGGGGGUGAAGCGUCGGCUGAUGCCGCUGCUAAGAGCGUUACGGCUGUUGAAGGUGUGGCGACCGAGUAGUCGUGGAAUGUCCAAGCUGCUGUAGUGUAGUAUUUUAGGUAGCCUUUAGGAUUUUCUUUGUUUUUCCUUGUAGCUUUUGUUUUGCUUGAACUCCUUCAACCUUUGCUAGUUGUUUAUAAACAUGUUUUCCUUCGUUUUUCUUCAUCUUCACUUCUUUUGUUCAUGCCCUAACCUUUAGACUUGAUAGACCAGUGGCAGGCAUGCUACUUUUUUAUAAGCAGACAAACUCGCGUAGCCUAUGCAGCCGUAGGUGUUGGUGUAGAACUUUGCAAAGUUGUUAGCCAUAGGGUUGGCAGCCGGAUGCCUUACUUACAGAAGCAGACAAGUCCGCGUAACCACUAGGCUGUUAACUUUGACUUUCUUCAAUUCCGUAGGUUGCGUAGUAAGUAUCACAACACUUUAGGACUUUGUGUAGGUUGUUCCGCGCUUGGCAGAGGUGAAGCUUAUCGACUACGUAGCAUGUCGGCAGUGGAUAAAACUUCGUAUAUGCGCGCUAGCUUGUCUAACCUUUCACAAGAAUGUGCGGUUGUAUAAGUCUAGUGCGGCUUCACUGCUCGAAGGGCAAGCCGUAGGCAGUCUUCCGGAAUCCGUAGGCUACCUUAGUGCACUCAGUAGCAGCUUUAGGAUUCCAGGACAGCCGUCCAUCGGAUGUACUGCGUAAUGUGCCUUCUCCGUCUCUAGGGCCCGGUUCCCCACGGAUUAGGCCAAGAGACCCAAAAUCCUUCAGUUAGCUAAACCUUGAAAAAGACCAUUGCGGCUACUUCUAGGAAUCCCGGCGCAAGCCAUCGUGCAUCUAGUUAUACUAGGGCAGCCAGGCUCAUCCACGUCUGGAUAUUCGGAGUGUAAAGUUUAUCCUCCCGUCUUGGAGAGCUGACCCAUAUGGGUGUCGGAGAAUUGGUUUACCCUCUCGCACUGGAGAGCAUGGUUGGUCCCUCGGGGGGCGCAAUUCCUGCGAUAAGUCCCUAAGAAGGGUGCAGUCUUCUUUUAAAGUGCAAGAGUGAUUAGUUGUUGUAAGCAUGCAGCCAAGCCAAGUUGUGAUUACUUCUAAAUUCCUCAUUGAAAAAUGAGUGAAACGAACGAGAACUUUAGCUGUAAGGUAGGAACUACAUAACAACUGGAUAGUCCUCAGCUUGUGAGGUGGUGCCCGUCGAGCUUAUUGAGUCUUCGGGUUUUGAUGUAGCGGGAGGUCACACAUGGUACUUCUUCUUCAGAUUGUAGGCCAUCCAUUUUUUUUUCAAUCUUUUUUGCCGCUUCAUGGUGGUGAGGGUGUAAUUACUCUUGCCCCCUACUCUGCUGAUCUUGUACGGACCUUCCCAGAUGGGAUCCAUCUUUUUGGAGCCUUCUCUGCCGGCAGUGAUGAAGGCUUUUCUGCGCCGUCGACAUGCAAAUGCCAGAAGUCUCCAUCGGGUGGAGUAGGCACAGCUAGAGUGUGCUCGGCUACUUCUGAGGCAUCGUUGGGCCACUCUGUUGCGUCACCUAGGCUCGGCGUGAAGGCGCAGUAGGGAGCUGUGGAGAUGGGGCCAUGUCAUACGCAACAGGAGAUGCUCAACUGCCGGUAUUGGGCCACUCUAGAGUUGAAUCAUUGAGCAAGGUCGGCUAGGGCCGUGUGAUGCGCAGCAAGAAAUGGUACUCAACUGCCGUUACAUGUUGCUCCUAUGUAGAAUCUUUCAGGAUGACGAGGACAAAACUUGCUUUCAAGUGUGUCUUUCCAGUGUUACGUUCGUCAGAAAACUUUACAUCCGCCAGGGUCUACGCCUUUAUCGUCGCGCGUCUGGAUUGGGCAGAAUAGUACGUCAUUAAGAUGAUUGCAUGCGUUUGAAAGUAAAAUUUGUGUUUCUAGGUUGCAACAACUAUCGCCAAAGUUAACUUUUGAAUUUUUAAUAACAUCGAUGAGAGCUUUUGAACUGUAGAAUACAGGUAACUGUGGAAUACAGGUAGUCGGGCCCCCAUCUCUUCUCGCAUGAUGGUAGAGCUUAUUGCUACUUUAGAUAACGUCAAACAUGUGAAUAAGUCCUCCGCUGCUUCUAGGGAGGUGAUGUCGGGUACUUCUUCAAGUCCUUGAAUGUGCAUUGGCGAGCCUCAUCCCAAAGUGCAUACUUCUCUGCCAAAGCAAAAGAGUCUGCCAGAGUUAGAUCUUCUUUCAUGAUCAAUUUUCCGAAUAGCGGGUGGUCUGCUGGAAGUCCUUUUUGGAAGGCUGCUCUAGCUAUCGAGUCGUUGCAUCCGACUAUUUUUGCCUUCUCUACUUUGAACCUCCUCACAUAGUCGCGAAGUGACUCCUUUGGGUUCUUCUUGACGUUGAACAAAUGAUCAGACUUCUUUUUGAUUGAGCGAUAGGAUGAAUAUUCUUUGGUGCAAACCAAAGAAAGUUCGUAGAAAUCCCGGAUGGAUUGUGGCGGCAGGGUGUAGAACCAAUCUUGCGCCUCGCCUUGUAGAGUGGUGGCGAAUAUCUUGCACAUGAGCUCAUCGUUGUUUCGAUAAAGGAUCAUUGUGCUUCGGUAGCGCUUUAAGUGUCUCUCCGGGUCUUCAUCCCCUUUGAAAGAUGUGAAAUGUGGCAUGCUGAACUCUCGUGGAGGCUCUGCCUGCUCGAUCUCGUCCGUGAAGGGUGACCUGCUUAUGUUGGUCAUGUUCCGUCGUAGUGCCUCGUUGGUGACCUCGUUGCGUUGGAAAUCAUGCAAUCGCUUGGUCAAGAGUCUCUCUACUUCUUCCUGAAUUUGCCUUUGUUGGGGUAGUGCAGCUCUCGGCUGCCCCCAGCCAUGACUUGCUGGUCUAGGCUGCUCUUCCAUGUGUUUGGCUCGUCUAUGCCGCAGAUGCAGUGCAUAUGGUGCAUUCCUAGCAGGCGAGCGAGUUCUUCGCAGGCUGCUGGUUGAACUUGAGCUGGAUUGAGUAACUGCUUCUCUCCGUCUGUCGUGCUGCCUACUCUGAUGUGAGGUGGAUGAUGCUCCUUGUGGGCUUAGCCGCGAAUGAACACUUUGUCUGGAAGGUUGCUCAUGUUGACUAUCGGAGUGUGACCCCAACCGUGAAUGUAUGCUCAUCCGUGGGCCUAGUCGAGAGUACACGCUCCUCCGCGCGCUAAGACGGGAGUAUACGCUAUCUCGGGGGCCCAAUCGGGAAUGUACACUGCCUGAACGUUCAGCUCGUGGCUGGUCGAAUGGCUGCUUGCUGGGAUGCUGCUGGAAAAGUUUGUCUGCCCUUGUCCUACUUCGGGAUACCUCAUCCGGGGCACGUUGGAUCCCGAUGCGUUGCAAAAGUUGAUUCACCAAAGUUGUCUGUUGUGCAAGGGUGCUCGUCAACUCUAUGACUUGUCGAGACAAGUGUUGUUCGCCAUUUGGAUUGGAAGAGCUUGGAAGGAAUGCGCCUCCUUGAGCAGUGGAAGGGUGGUAGACUCCGGGCGCGAGAUUUGAGUUGGGAAAUGUCAAAUCCGCGAAAAAAUGUGGUGAGAAUGCCCCCGGCUCGAUGGUAGGUCCAGAUGGUUGAGAUAGUUUUGGGCCGACUUGGGCUGCUUGGAAAGCCACGGGAGCAGUGUGGGCCUUGAGAGUGGGCUGCUCGUCAGGAGUGGGCUGCUCGUUGGGAGCAGGCUGGGUCACGAGAGCAGGCUGCUUGGCAGGAGCAUGUUGCUUGGCGGGAGCAGGCUGGGCCACGGAAGCAGGCUGCUUGGCAGGAGCAGGUUGCUUGGCGGGAGCAGGCUGGGCCACGGAAGUAGGCUGCUUGGCAGGAGCAGGCUGGGCCACGGGAGUGGGUUGCUCGACGGGAGCAGGCUGGAUCACGGGAGCAGGCUGCUCAAUGCGCGGUGCAUGUGAAUGCGAGGCUUGGGCUUGGGUCCACGUGAACUUGGAUGGCACGGCUUGGAUCGUGGUCUUGGUACCGUGAGCCUUGGAUGGCACGGCUCGGGCCGUGGUGAAGGCUCCAUGGACCUCGCCACGAGUGGCUACCGAAGUAGCCAUCGUGGUGGUUCCCAUGGUGGCCGUGGUGAAGGCAUCAUGGACCUCGCCGUGGGUGGCUACCGAGGUAGCCACCACGGUGGUUCCCAUGGUGGAAGCUCGUGGUGAUGAUGCCGCUCCCCUUAUUGUCGCAUUUUGCCUUACGGAUCUCUGGGUCGUGGUGAAGGCUCCAUGGACCUCGCCACGAGUGGCUACCGAAGUAGCCACCGCGGUGGUUCCCAUGGUGGCCGUGGUGAAGGCACCAUGGACCUCGCCGCGGGUAGCUACCGAAGUAGCCACCACGGUGGUUCCCAUGGUGGAAGCUCGUGAUGAUGAUGCCGCUCCCCUUAUUGUCGCAUUUAGCCUCACGGAUCUCCGCAAUCCCAUUUCUUGAACAUUAGAAUUUUCACUUGUGGAAUUUUCUAAAUUUCUAGCCAUUAUUUUUUUGCUUAUACGUUUUAUCAAAGAACCUUUGCAAGUAAAAAAUUCUAAUAAUAAGAACGUAUGAAAAAUAUUCAAAUGGACUAGAAAAUAAAGAAAAAACCUUUUUUGUGCGAGAGUCUUCUACGAGUAUGGAUUUCAACUCUCAAUGAAAGCACCAAUUUGUGGAUGCAAAUUUCUUCCUCCUCGAUCUUGGACGAUUUUGCACCUACAAAACAAUUAACACCUUAGGUUAAGGCCAAGAGCCUCACGCGCCCACGAUGAAUGGGGGGGGGCUUUGGCCGAAGAACCUCCGAUGCCAAAGUUAGAAUUUAGAGAGAAAGAGUGUUUAGAGAAUUUUGGGAUUUUUGCCAAAGUGUUGGAAUUCGCUUUUUGGUGAGAAUGGGAGUAUAUUUAUAGGGAUAGGAGGUGGCUAGGGUUUUUAGGUUUAAUUAGCCAAUUUAUUUGGCUAUUAAACAUAAAAUGAAUGUUUGGUGGUUUUUUGUAUAAUUGGCUAAAAAAGGAAGAAAUGGUGGGAAAAGGUAGAAAAAAGGUAAUGGAUUAGGUUUUUCAAUGGGAUAGCCGGCCCUCUUGUGUUUUUAGGUUUGAGUGGAUGUUUCAAAUUGACAAUUAAGGGAUUGAUUAGGUAAUUAAUCCCUUAAUUAGUCAAUUAUUAUGAUUUUAUGAAAUAUGAAAGGAAUAAGUAUAUUAUUUAGCUAAUUGAUUAGCUAAAUAAUGAAAUGGGAAAUAUAUGAAUAAAUUAGGUUUUAAGUUGAUACCUAUUUUGGGCACUUUUGACUUGGUUGAAAAAAUGAUUCUCUACUGCUCGUGUGUAGGAAACCCGGUAUGCCUCGAGGGUAUUUUUGUCCUCUUUUGUCCAAAAGUCCACGUGUCGCCUAGUGAAUAUUUUUGGCUCCACAAACUCCCCUAGCGGCCUCACACUUUGAACAAUAAUGUAGUGGAGAUCUAUUCAAGUUUUUUCGCUUUUCUGUGUAAAUGAGUUUUGGAAUUUGAGAGUGUCCAUUCACAUCAGUUUCCUACUAUAUUUGAAUUUUUUUUUUAUUUAUAAAAAGUGAUAUUUAUGAAAUUGAGUGUUAAGUUUUGGCUAUUAAUGAUAAAUAGUCUUAGAUUGCUCCUUCCCAACAUCCCCAAACCAAACCCGAGUCGCGUCAAAGAAGACCCAUGGACUCCGCCAUCACCGGCCAUGGCUGCAAUUAUAGCUCGGACAGUAAAUUUAUCAUUAAUAGCCUCCGUUUGGACUCCGAGAAAAUCCGAGAAAUUUGAACACCAUGUUUGAAUUUGGGUGCUACUGGUGAAUAUUCCCAAUUAUCAGAUUUUGUGCAUCUUUUUCCAAACAAACACUCUGACACAUUGAAGAGUUAUUGGUGAACCAGCUCAGCUUGGAAUGGGAUGAUUAAAAACGUACAAGACACACUAUAGCAUAGCAUUGAACGCGAUUAAUGUAAAAACUCAAGUACAGCUGCUGUUGAAAAACAAACAAAACAGUUGCACAUUCGAAAGAUAAAAGCCAUGGUAGUUGAAAAAAGGAAAUGAUUGGGCGGACAACUAUAUCAUAUACGUGCAUGAAACAUGUGUAGCUCCAAUCUUAUGAAACCCUUUCCAAAGUUGUGUGCAUUUAUGUUUCAAUGCUACAAAUGGGCCUUCCGUCUUGUUCUACAUCUAUUUGUUGAUUGGUUAUCUUUUUCAAAGUUUUGUCGGCCACAUGGACUGUGAAGUUUAAAUCACUUCACACAUAAAAAUUUGCUUUAGAUUUCCAGUUGAGAGGGUGCGAUGUAGAGCAGAGAGUUGAGAGAGUGAGACGCCAGCGAGGCACACGAGGGAUAAAAAGGAGGAAGGAAAUGAAGAAAGGAGACCCCGUUCCACCGUGAGAUCACUUUGGGCUCAUUUGUUAUCAUUUUAAAAGUUUUGUCGGCCAAUUGAACUUUAAAGUUCAAAUCAGUUGCAACCAACAAAGAAGAAAGGUUAUGCAGCUAAUACUUUUACUCUGCCAGUAGAGAAACUGCAUAUACUAACACUAGUACUGUGGUGGCUACUCUACUGGAUUCUGGCAAUUUUAUCCUACAACAAGUGAACUCUAUGGAUGGAUCGAGGAACCAGAUUUUGUGGCAAAGUUUUGAUCAUCCAAUAGACACCCUUUAUCCAGGCAUGAAAUUAGGCGUGAACCAUAGAAACGGGCACAUUUUGUCACUUACUUCAUGGUCAAGUGAGUACGAUCCAAAGCCGGGGCCUUUCACCCUUGAAUGGGACUACAAAACGCAAGAAUUGCAGAUUAAGCGACGCGGAGUGGUUCACUGGACUAGUGGAGCCUCUACAAGUAAGAGAUUUAAGCUGCUGAUGGGGUGGUAUAAUUUUAACAUUGUUUCAAACAAAAAUGAAGACUACUUCUCUCUAAACCAGACUUCUACAUCACAAUGGUUCUUAACAACAGCUGGAGUACUGGAUGACUUGGAAGGAGAUGUUAUUGCAAGACCAGAUAACUGUUAUGGCUAUAACAGAGAUGGAGGGUGCAAGAGAUGGGCGGAGAAGCCAACUUGCAGACAUGUUGGUGACACAUUCGAGAUAAAAAAUGGUUUCAACUCAAAUUCAACCUUCCCGACUGAUUCUAAUAGAAGUCUAAGUCUUAGUGAUUGUAAAGAUUGUUGUUGGAAAAAUUGCGACUGUUUUGGAUUCAACUUUCUAUUUGAAUAUUAUACAGGAAUAAACUGGGAGUUCAUUACAGGCUUCUCUAGUGAUACUACACUUUGUUUUUAUAUGUUGAAAACAAAGUCACCUCGCAAUAAUGGUAGAUCUACCGAUCAUUAACCUUUUCAACUAAGAACUUACCCACUAGUUACUAUAUCGUACCGGUUCAGAUCGUCCCGCAACAGGAGACGCAUAAAACAACGAAGGAAAUUUGGCCGCGCUCACACACACACUAGUAUAUAUGCAAUUGAAUGACAAGUACAUUUACUAAUGAAUGCAUAUAGAAAAAAGCGGAUAUUUAUUGGCACUGGUAUAACAGCUGCUACUCUACUACUAGUUGUCCCAUGCAUCGCUUGCUAUGUACUAUGAAGACGAAAAUUUGCACUUUCAGGUACACAAAGUUAUUCGAGUCAAUGAAAGUUUUUGUCAUGAAUGUAAAAUAUAUUUUGUACCUUAAUUUACAUAGGCGAGAAUGAGACAAGGAUCAUUGAGGAUGAAUUGCGUGACUUAAUGAAAUCUGAUCGACCUACUGAUGCUACUGCACUUCAAAAUGAUGGAAAUAUGAGACCUGAUUUAAGUAUCUUUAGUUAUGCAUCUGUAAUGGCUGCCACAUGUAAUUUCUCACCAGAAAACAAGCUCGGACAAGGGGGAUUUGGUCCGGUUUAUAAGGUAAGGUUUUAGAUCAUAUAAUGUUAUAUUUCGUCUAUUGAUGCUAAAAACUUAUAGCUGAUCAGGUGAGAUAUUGUGCAUCACUAAUUCAGGGAAAAUUGGUGACGGGACAAGAAGUAGCUGUUAAGAGGCUUUCAAAAUGUUCAGGGCAAGGAUCAUUGGAGUUUAAGAAUGAAUUGAUACUCAUAUAUGAACUCCAACAUAAAAACCUUGUCAAACUUUUUGGAUUUUGCAUUCAUGGUGAAGAAAGGAUGCUCAUAUAAGAGUGUAUGCCAAACAAAAGUUUGGACUACUUUUUAUUCG